UGACCAUUGUGACCAAUGACAAUAGAAGGGGGGUUGUUCUUUCUCUUCCAUGAAAAGAGGCGGGGUUUGAGUUUGGGAAAAUUCAGAGAAGAGCGUAAGAGUAAGUCUUGAGGGAGAAAUCUGGUAAAUGAAACUCGAUUUUAAACAUGGAAAUCGCCUUUUAAGUGUGAUGCUGGGAAUCCAUGCCUUCAGCCUGCCCCGAGAAGACUAGCCUCACUCACGUCUGGCCGCUGGAGGAAGGCUGGAACUUUUGAAGGCGCUGCGUCUGGUCGCUCGUAUCCGGUGUGAGUGAACGGUGGGAUGAAACUCUUCUUGUUUGCUUCAUUCCUCGCGUGCUGUCACGGACAUAUUCGACCUAGGAAGCCAACGGCAGCUCCAGCUAAUAAUGCGGCGUGAUUGAUCAUCGGCAGGAGACCAUACCCAUCCACUCCUUUCCAUUCCUACAAAAUCACUGGAUAUCUGUGGACGAAGUGCGGGCGAAGAGGCGUUUGUUCCGCGGUGUUUCUCGCUGUGACAGGACUUAUUUCGUUUAGAUCAAUAUGACGUCCCCGGCUAAAUUCCGAAAGGACAAGGAGAUUAUAGCUGAAUAUGAAACGCAAGUUAAAGACCCUUGAUGAGCAACCCUUGGAGGUUCCUGUGAGUCGGGGACAGGCGGAUCUCAGCCCGCCGUGGGCUUUCUAGACUCUAACUUUGUUUUACUCAAGCCAGAUGUCCGCUCACCCUGCACAUGACUCCAUAAUGAGAGCCAAACCUGAGACUAUCAUUCCUUUGCUUCAUGCACAGUCUGUUUUGCACAAUAUUCCUCCUUACAUAAUAAUUUACUGGCUUAUUUUAAAGGAUGGAGGAGGUUGUGCUCCUUUGAAGUGUUCGCACAGCCCCACUGUGUGCUGGUACUUGUUUUUGACUUCUAUCCAGCUUAUACAUUGACUGCACGUCUGCUUCAAUUAAUAUACAC